GGGGAUGUGGCUUAGUUGGUAGAGCACUUGCCUAGCAUGCAUGCAGGCCUGGGUACCAUCCCCA
rnacentral:tRNA from 1 species